UGGUUAGUGUAUUGCUAUAAAUUUGUUUCAUUGACUUGUUUCAAAAUGAAGUGAGAUUCUGACUAUGUUUUUUUCUGUGUGUUGAAUAAAUUUUAUCAUGUUUUGGUUAUAAUAGUGGAUUGCUAUAUUUUGGUUCCUAUAUUUUAUUGUUUCGUUGUUUCAGAUCAAAGGGACCAAGCUGUUAAAAACAAUUAUCUUUUGUGUUUUUCC
rnacentral:lncRNA from 1 species